rnacentral:sRNA from 1 species
AUCGGUCAAUGGUCUGGUAUUUGCGUGGUAUUUUUUGUUGAUACCACAUGUCAAGGGGAACAUGGGAAUGGCAGAUAGAUGGGAAAGAAGAGGAAAAAGGCAAGUAACUAAAACUAUGGACAAACUAUCUACGGACAUGCAAAAACUACAGAAACAACAGGAUUGACAUCUACAACAAAUACAUUGAUGCAGACAAGGAGGGCAAACAACAACGGAGCAUCGGCGGGCAUAACAAACGCAAUGCGAACAUUACGCUUUAUACCGGCCGGCUCUGUUGUCCCCCUGUGUGUUGUUUAUUGGCUGGCUGGAUUGAUGGUGUUGGCGUGCAUCUUGGGCAAAAGUUGGAGAUGGCGUGCGGCUCUAGUCCGGCCGCCCACGUUGCAUCUGUCUGUUGGUUUGGUGCAGCAGACCGAGUGGCACUGGUCCGGCCACCCGAAGAUGCAUUGUCCAGUGUGUUGGCAUUGACAUCGAAAUGUGAUGCCAACGAAUCAUGUUAUUGGCCGCAUCCGAGUGGCGAACUGGUCCGGCCACCAGGAUGCGUUGUCGAUUUUAAUUGUUGGCCGCAUCCGAGUGGCUGCUGGUCCGGCCACCAGGAUGCGUUGUCAGUUGGAUUGGCCUGGCCUCGUUGGCCACGUUCGUCAUCAAUUUGUAAUGGCGUUUUGAAUGGCUGCUGGUCCGGCCAUCCAGAUGAGGAGGUGUUCGUUUUGGCAUGUGAUUUACGUUUGUGUUUAUUUGCAGGUACUUUCGGCGUUUGGAUGUUGUUGCUGGCAACCCUUGUCUGGUUUGUGAUGGCGUAAAACAGCAGGAUUUGCUGGCGUCCGGCGGCUCAACACCGGGCCAUCCCGCCCUCACAUAAUGGCAUGAGAGACGGGUUUGACCGAGUGGAGCGGCAACAGGCGCCAGCAUCUGCAUCGUCGUUGGAAUGGCAGCUGUGAGCAGGAAAUUGUAAUGUUGGUGUUGGUGUUGGUGGCGAGGCAGCUUCUUGAUUGGCAGCUCUGUCUGGUGAUUGCCAGGUAAGUGUGGUUUUUGUGUGUUUUGGCAGUUUUUCGGGUUGGCGUGAAUUGACUGUUUUUUUAUACCCGAUACUCAAAAUGAGUAUUGGGGUAUAUUAGAUUUGUGGUAAA